rnacentral:rRNA from 1 species
UACAGAGGUCUCAAGCGUUGUUCGGAUUCAUUGGGCGUAAAGGGUGCGUAGGCGGCGCGGUAAGUCGGGUGUGAAAUCUCGGAGCUUAACUCCGAAACUGCAUUCGAUACUGGCGUGCUUGAGGACUGGAGAGGAGACUGGAAUUCAUGGUGUAGCAGUGAAAUGCGUAGAGAUCAUGAGGAAGACCAGUGGCGAAGGCGGGUCUCUGGACAGUUCCUGACGCUGAGGCACGAAGGCCAGGGGGAGCAAACGGG